GGAAGAGCAGGUUGCCAGCAGUCACCCAGAAUUGCCAGUGCUGCAAGGCCGCAAAGAGCAGGGCUCUCCAGGCCACACAGCUCUGCACCUUGCUCCUCUGCUCGUGGGUCUUUUGCUCCAGCUCCUGCAGCAGCCGAGCCAUCUCCUGGCUGAGCUGCUCCACACACUGCUGCAUGGGGUCACGUGUGGGUUCAGCCAGUUCAUCA